GACAGAGGGUGCAAACGUUGCUCGGAAUUACUGGGCGUAAAGCGCGUGUAGGCGGUCCCGCGAGUCGGGUGUGAAAGCCCGGGGCUCAACCCCGGAAGCGCACUCGAUACUACGGGGCUGGAGUCCUGAAGAGGAGAGCGGAAUUCCCGGUGUAGAGGUGAAAUUCGUAGAUAUCGGGAGGAACACCAGUGGCGAAGGCGGCUCUCUGGACAGGCACUGACGCUGAGACGCGAAAGCAUGGGGAGCAAACAGG
rnacentral:rRNA from 1 species